AAGGAUGUGAGGAGGAAGACGCAGUGAACUGAAACAUCUAAGUAGCUGCAGGAAGAGAAAGCAAAAGCGAUUGCCUUAGUAGCGGCGAGCGAAACGGCAGGAGGGCAAACCGAAGAGUUUACUCUUCGGGGUUGUAGGACUGCAAUGUGGACUCAAAGAUUAUAGAAGAAUGAUUUGGGAAGAUCAGCCAAAGAGAGUAAUAGCCUCGUAUUUAAAAUAGUCUUUGUACUUAGCAGUAUCCUGAGUACGGCGGGACACGUGAAAUCCCGUCGGAAUCUGGGAGGACCAUCUCCCAACCCUAAAUACUCCCUAGUGACCGAUAGUGAACCAGUACCGUGAGGGAAAGGUGAAAAGCACCCCGGGAGGGGAGUGAAAUAGAACCUGAAACCGUGUGCCUACAACAAGUUCGAGCCCGUUAAUGGGUGAGAGCGUGCCUUUUGUAGAAUGAACCGGCGAGUUACGUUAUGAUGCGAGGUUAAGUUGAAGAGACGGAGCCGUAGGGAAACCGAGUCUGAAUAGGGCGCCUUAGUAUCAUGACGUAGACCCGAAACCAUGUGACCUACCCAUGAGCAGGUUGAAGGUGCGGUAAGACGCACUGGAGGACCGAACCAGGGCACGUUGAAAAGUGCUUGGAUGACUUGUGGGUAGCGGAGAAAUUCCAAACGAACUUGGAGAUAGCUGGUUCUCUCCGAAAUAGCUUUAGGGCUAGCGUCGACAUUAGAGAUUCUUGGAGGUAGAGCACUGUUUGGGUGAGGGGUCCAUCCCGGAUUACCAAUCUCAGAUAAACUCCGAAUGCCAAUGAAUUAUGGUCGGCAGUCAGACUGCGAGUGCUAAGAUCCGUAGUCGAAAGGGAAACAGCCCAGACCACCAGCUAAGGUCCCAAAAUAAUUGUUAAGUGGAAAAGGAUGUGGGGUUGCACAGACAACUAGGAUGUUAGCUUAGAAGCAGCUAUUCAUUCAAAGAGUGCGUAAUAGCUCACUAGUCGAGUGACCCUGCGCCGAAAAUGUACCGGGGCUAAAACAAUUUACCGAAGCUGUGGAUACCUUUAUAGGUAUGGUAGGAGAGCGUUCUAUGUGUGAUGAAGGUAUACCGUGAGGAGUGCUGGAACGCAUAGAAGUGAGAAUGCCGGUAUGAGUAGCGAAAGACAGGUGAGAAUCCUGUCCACCGUAAGACUAAGGUUUCCAGGGGAAGGCUCGUCCGCCCUGGGUUAGUCGGGACCUAAGGAGAGACCGAAAGGUGUAUCCGAUGGACAACAGGUUGAUAUUCCUGUACUAGAGUAUGUAGUGAUGGAGGGACGCAGUAGGCUAACUAAAGCAGACGAUUGGAAGAGUCUGUCUAAGCAGUGAGGUGUGAAUUGAGUCAAAUGCUUAAUUCUAUAACAUUGAGCUGUGAUGGGGAGCGAAGUUUAGUAGCGAAGUUAGUGACGUCACACUGCCAAGAAAAGCUUCUAGCGUUUAAACAUACUCUACCCGUACCGCAAACCGACACAGGUAGUCGAGGCGAGUAGCCUCAGGUGAGCGAGAGAACUCUCGUUAAGGAACUCGGCAAAAUGACCCCGUAACUUCGGGAGAAGGGGUGCUGACUUAAAGUCAGCCGCAGUGAAUAGGCCCAAGCAACUGUUUAUCAAAAACACAGCUCUCUGCUAAAUCGUAAGAUGAUGUAUAGGGGGUGACGCCUGCCCGGUGCUGGAAGGUUAAGAGGAGUGCUUAGCGUAAGCGAAGGUAUGAAUUGAAGCCCCAGUAAACGGCGGCCGUAACUAUAACGGUCCUAAGGUAGCGAAAUUCCUUGUCGGGUAAGUUCCGACCCGCACGAAAGGCGUAAUGAUUUGGGCACUGUCUCAACGAGAGACUCGGUGAAAUUUUAGUACCUGUGAAGAUGCAGGUUACCCGCGACAGGACGGAAAGACCCCAUGGAGCUUUACUGCAGUUUGAUAUUGAGUGUCUGUACCACAUGUACAGGAUAGGUAGGAGUCUAAGAGAUCGGGACGCCAGUUUCGAAGGAGACGCUGUUGGGAUACUACCCUUGUGUUAUGGCCACUCUAACCCAGAUAGGUGAUCCCUAUCGGAGACAGUGUCUGACGGGCAGUUUGACUGGGGCGGUCGCCUCCUAAAAGGUAACGGAGGCGCCCAAAGGUUCCCUCAGAAUGGUUGGAAAUCAUUCGCAGAGUGUAAAGGUAUAAGGGAGCUUGACUGCGAGAGCUACAACUCGAGCAGGGACGAAAGUCGGGCUUAGUGAUCCGGUGGUUCCGUAUGGAAGGGCCAUCGCUCAACGGAUAAAAGCUACCCUGGGGAUAACAGGCUUAUCUCCCCCAAGAGUUCACAUCGACGGGGAGGUUUGGCACCUCGAUGUCGGCUCGUCGCAUCCUGGGGCUGUAGUCGGUCCCAAGGGUUGGGCUGUUCGCCCAUUAAAGCGGCACGCGAGCUGGGUUCAGAACGUCGUGAGACAGUUCGGUCCCUAUCCGUCGCGGGCGUAGGAAAUUUGAGAGGAUCUGCUCCUAGUACGAGAGGACCAGAGUGGACUUACCGCUGGUGUACCAGUUGUCUUGCCAAAGGCAUCGCUGGGUAGCUAUGUAGGGAAGGGAUAAACGCUGAAAGCAUCUAAGUGUGAAACCCACCUCAAGAUGAGAUUUCCCAUGAUUAUAUAUCAGUAAGAGCCCUGAGAGAUGAUCAGGUAGAUAGGUUAGAAGUGGAAGUGUGGCGACACAUGUAGCGGACUAAUACUAAUAGCUCGAGGACUUAUCCAAA
rnacentral:rRNA from 1 species